rnacentral:rRNA from 1 species
AUUGAACGCUGGCGGCAUGCUUUACACAUGCAAGUCGAACGGCAGCGCGGGGCAACCUGGCGGCGAGUGGCGAACGGGUGAGUAAUAUAUCGGAACGUACCCAAGAGUGGGGGAUAACGUAGCGAAAGUUACGCUAAUACCGCAUACGAUCUAAGGAUGAAAGUGGGGGAUCGCAAGACCUCAUGCUCCUGGAGCGGCCGAUAUCUGAUUAGCUAGUUGGUGAGGUAAAGGCUCACCAAGGCGACGAUCAGUAGCUGGUCUGAGAGGACGACCAGCCACACUGGGACUGAGACACGGCCCAGACUCCUACGGGAGGCAGCAGUGGGGAAUUUUGGACAAUGGGCGCAAGCCUGAUCCAGCCAUGCCGCGUGUGGGAAGAAGGCCUUCGGGUUGUAAACCACUUUUGUCAGGGAAGAAACGGUCUGGUCUAAUAAACCGGACUAAUGACGGUACCUGAAGAAUAAGCACCGGCUAACUACGUGCCAGCCGCCGCCGUAA